rnacentral:rRNA from 1 species
GAUGAACGCUGGCGGCGUGCCUAAUACAUGCAAGUCGAGCGAACAGACGAGGAGCUUGCUCCUCUGACGUUAGCGGCGGACGGGUGAGUAACACGUGGAUAACCUACCUAUAUUACUGGGAUAACUUCGGGAAACCGGAUCUAAUACCGGAGAAUAUAUUGAACCGCAUGGUUCAAUAGUGAAAGACGGUUUUGCUGUCACUUAUAGAUGGAUCCGCGCCGCAUUAGCUAGUUGGUAAGGUAACGGCUUACCAAGGCAACGAUGCGUAGCCGACCUGAGAGGGGGAUCGGCGACACGGGAACGGAGACAGCGUCCAGGCUCCUACGGGAGGCAGCAGUAGCGAAUCUUCCGCAAUGGGCGAAAGCCUGACGGAGCAGCGGCGCGUGAGUGAUGAAAGUCUUGGGAUCGUAAAACUCUGUUAUUAGGGAAGAACAAAUGUGUAAGUAACUAUGCACGUCUUGACGGUACCUAGUCAGAAAGCCACGGCUAACUACGUG